UUAAAAAGCUCGUAGUUGGACUUCUGCCGAGGACGACUGGUCCGCCCUCUGGGUGAGCUCUUGUUCGGCCUGGGACAUCUUCUUGGGGAACGUAGACUGCACUUGACUGUGUGGUGCGGUAUCCAGGACUUUUACUUUGAGGAAAUUAGAGUGUUUCAAG
rnacentral:rRNA from 1 species